rnacentral:sRNA from 1 species
CGAGGAAGAGUGAGGGCGCGACGCGCACGAACGGUGGAGGGAUGUUUCAGCAGCCCCUGAGAAGGAAGAGGAGGAAGCUGAGGGCCCGCUGAGGGCGCAGGACCUGAGGGAGUCCUACAUCCAGCUCGUCCAGGGUGUGCAGGAGUGGCAGGAUGGUUGCAUGUACCAGGGGGAGUUUGGGUUGAACAUGAAGCUUGGAUAUGGCAAAUUCUCUUGGCCCACAGGCGAGUCAUACCAUGGGCAGUUUUACCGGGACCACUGCCAUGGCCUGGGUACCUACAUGUGGCCAGAUGGCUCCAGUUUCACGGGCACAUUUUACCUCAGCCACCGAGAAGGCUACGGCACCAUGUACAUGAAGACACGGCUUUUCCAGGAACAAGCCAGCUCACACCAGCUGGAACAUGGGCGCCAUCCUGGAGGGGAAGCGCAGCGGCUUUGCACCCUGCGGGCCCAAAGAGCAGCUUUCCAUGGAGAUGAUCCUAAAGGCUGAGGAAGGGAACCACGAAUGGAUUUGUAGGAUCCUGAAGGACAACUUUGCUAGUGCUGACGUGGCGGACGCAAAGGGCUACACUGUGCUUGCUG